CGCAGCCGCGGUAAUUCCAGCUCCAAUAGCGUAUAUUAAAGUUGUUGCAGUUAAAAAGCUCGUAGUUGAAUUUCGAGACCGGUUUAUUGGUCGUGCUUUUGUACGUACUGGUAUUAUUGGUUUCUCCUUUCUGACGAAUCUUAAUGCCAUUAAUUUGGUGUUUUGGGGAAUCAGGACUGUUACUUUGAAAAAAUUGAGUGUUUAAAGCAGGCUCACGCUUGAAUACAUUAGCAUGGAAUAACGGAUAGGACGUUUGAUUCUAUUUUGUUGGUUUCUAGGAUCGACGUCAAUGAUUAAUAGGGAUAGUUGGGGGCAUUAGUAUUCAAUUGUCAGAGGUGAAAUUCUUGGAUUUAUUGAAGACUAACUACUGACGAAAGCAUUUGCCAAGGAUGUUU
rnacentral:rRNA from 1 species